rnacentral:lncRNA from 1 species
CCUUGGUCCACCCUGAGAACCCAAAGAAAGCACAGGCAAAGAAAGAGAACAGCGCAAACCCAUCAGCUCUCAAGCUGCAAGGCUCUAUUACCCUAAGCAACAAUAUCAAUGACCGGAAAACGCCUAAAAAGAAGCCAUUGCCUUCACCUUCUCCUACUGAUCAGAAGAAGCCAUCACCAUCGCCUUCUUCUGAUCAGAAGAAACCGGUACCGAAGGAGCAGAGAGCAAAGGCAGCUGGCACUCCUCCAAAACCAAAGGCCAAGGAUAUGAAGGGUAGCCAAGAGAAAAAGCCGCAGCAGAAAGUGGCUCCUUCGGUCAGCGCAUGA